AUUGCUAAUGCUAAAAAUCCAGGUUUAAUUUCAUAAAUGAUUCAUUUCCUCUCCUACUAUCUCUCUCACCAUUACUUCUCGUUUCUCUUCUCACUCAUCAGUCGAUUGUGCUCCCAAAACCCUAACCUCUGCCGCGUCUCUCCCAUCCACGUGUUUCUAACGGUGAAGCCGACGAAAAAGAAGUCGAUUUGCUACCUACACCAAGUUUCUCUCACUUGACGACGAGUGACUAUUCAGAGAAGAAGAUUUUCAAGUAGAAAAUGUUGAACAAACGAGGCAAGUCGAAGAGUCGGCCUACUCAAACGACAAACAUUCAACACGAUUAAUGUAGAACAAAGAACAAUCGUCAAAUCAAGAAGACCGUUGCUCUAGGGAUUUGGGCCACGCCUAUAAAUACCAGGAAGCUUGCGAUAAAUAGGAGACUUUUUAGUUAGAAAAUUUCCUUGGCAUUUCCGGCUCACUCUCUAAAAUUCACUCACAUAGCUCACGCACUUGGUUCCAUGGAAGAUCUAGGGUAGUUUUAGCGUGGUGUUUUGUUUAGUUGGAAGGUGUACACCACUCCGAGAAGGAGUGAAGAAACAAUUUACUUUUCGCAUGUACUUUUUAUCUCGCCGAUUUCCUUGCACGAAAUCCGACGACUGCUUUGUGACUCGUUUACAGUUUAUCAUUAAUCUAGUUUCAAUUCUGUUUU